rnacentral:rRNA from 1 species
AUUGAACGCUGGCGGCAGGCCUAACACAUGCAAGUCGAGCGAGCGGCGGACGGGUGAGUAAUGUAUGGGGACUGCCCGAUAGAGGGGAUACCUACUGGAAACGGUAGCUAAUACCGCAUACUAUCGGAUAACCCAUAUGGGAUUAGCUAGUAGGUGAGGUAAUGACUCACCUAGGCUACGAUCCCUAGCUGGUCUGAGAGGAUGAUCAGCAACAAUGGGACUGAGACACGGCCCAAACUCAUACGGAGGCAGCAGUGGGGAAUAUUGCAAAAUGGGAGAAAGCCUGAGGCAGAAAUGCCGCGUGUAUGAAGAAGGCCCUAGGGUGGUAAAGUACUUUAAGUCGGGAGGCGUUACCGACAGAAGAAGCACCGGCUAACUCCGUGCCAGCAGCCGCGGUAAUAC